AGAGUUUGAUCCUGGCUCAGAUUGAACGCUGGCGGCAGGCCUAACACAUGCAAGUCGAGCGGAUGAGAGGAGCUUGCUCCUCGAUUCAGCGGCGGACGGGUGAGUAAUGCCUAGGAAUCUGCCUAGUAGUGGGGGACAACGUUUCGAAAGGAACGCUAAUACCGCAUACGUCCUACGGGAGAAAGUGGGGGAUCUUCGGACCUCACGCUAUUAGAUGAGCCUAGGUCGGAUUAGCUAGUUGGUAGGGUAAAGGCCUACCAAGGCGACGAUCCGUAACUGGUCUGAGAGGAUGAUCAGUCACACUGGAACUGAGACACGGUCCAGACUCCUACGGGAGGCAGCAGUGGGGAAUAUUGGACAAUGGGCGAAAGCCUGAUCCAGCCAUGCCGCGUGUGUGAAGAAGGCCUUCGGGUCGUAAAGCACUUUAAGUUGGGAGGAAGGGCUCAUAGCGAAUACCUGUGAGUUUUGACGUACCAAC
rnacentral:rRNA from 1 species